UACGGAGGGUGCAAGCGUUAUCCGGAUUUACUGGGUUUAAAGGGUGCGUAGGUGGUUUUGUAAGUCAGUGGUGAAAGCCCGGAGCUCAACUCCGGAACUGCCAUUGAAACUGUUUAGCUUGAGGAUGAGAGAGGUGAGUGGAAUUCCCAGUGUAGAGGUGAAAUUCGUAGAUAUUGGGAAGAACACCGGUGGCGAAGGCGGCUCACUGGCUCAUUACUGACGCUCAGGCGCGAUAGCGUGGGGAUCAAACAGG
rnacentral:rRNA from 1 species